rnacentral:rRNA from 15 species
AACCGACACAGGUGGUCAGGUAGAGAAUACCAAGGCGCUUGAGAGAACUCGGGUGAAGGAACUAGGCAAAAUGGUGCCGUAACUUCGGGAGAAGGCACGCUGACACGUAGGUGAAGUGAUUUACUCACGGAGCUGAAGUCAGUCGAAGAUACCAGCUGGCUGCAACUGUUUAUUAAAAACACAGCACUGUGCAAACACGAAAGUGGACGUAUACGGUGUGACGCCUGCCCGGUGCCGGAAGGUUAAUUGAUGGGG